GAUGAACGCUGGCGGCGUGCUUAACACAUGCAAGUCGAACGGUGGAGCGCGUUCCUUUCUGGUUGGUGUGGAUGAGUGGCGAACGGAUGAGUAACACGUGAGUAACCUGCCCCCUUUUUCUGGAUAACCGCAUGAAAGAGUGGCUAAUACGGGAUAUUCUGCGCCUGCUGCAUGGUGGGUGUGGGAAAGAUUGUGCCUUUGGGUGUGUUCGGUGGGGGCUGGGCUCGCGGCCUAUUAGCUUGUCGGUGGGGUGAUGGCCUACCAAGGCGGUGACGGGUAACCGGGCUGAGGGGGUGGCCGGCUACAAUGGAGCUGCGACACGGCCCAGAACCGGAGGCGGCGGAGGGGAGGGUUAUACUAUGCGCGGAGGGCUGGCCUGGCGCAGCCGCGUGGCGUAAGAAGGGCUUCCCUUCGGGUAGUGAUCCUCUUUGGGAAGAGAAGCAGUCCUGCUAAUUGUGGGUGGGUUGACGGUACCUGGAUAAGAAGCGCCGGCUAACUACGUG
rnacentral:rRNA from 1 species